rnacentral:sRNA from 2 species
GAAACAGCACAGGACCACCAGGAGGCUGGUCGUGCUCGCCACCCCUCAGACAGUCUUUGAUGAAGUCAUCAUGGUAGAUGUCUUGGACAGUGGCGAUUCUGCUCAUCUAACCUUAAUGAAGAGGCCAGAGUUGGGUGUCACGCUGACAAAGCUCCACUGCUGGUCGCUUACACAGUAUUCAAAAUGUGUAUUCAUGGAUGCAGAUACUCUGGUCCUAGCAAAUAUUGAUG